UACUUAUCUAAUGCUACAUGCAAUUUUCUAACACAUAAUAAAACUGUUCAACUUCCCUCUUAAGUACUGAUUACUACCUUUUAACUCGGUUACAAUUUUGAUUUAUCAUUCGGUUACAACCCAAUUUACUUAUGAACAAAUCAAGUGCAAACUCUAAAUAAUCUAGAGUUAACAUGUAUGCUCAGGAACCACAAAGUACUUUAAAUAUGUACAAUUCCAAACUCCAGUUCCAAGACAUCUCCGAAAAAGGUGCAACCAGAGUUAACAUGUAUGCUCAGGAACCACAAAGUACUUUAAAUAUGUACAAUUCCAAACUCCAGUUCCAAGACAUCUCCGAAAAAGGUGCAACCUGUCCUGCCGUGACUGCUACGAAACCGUGUGACCAACCGCCUUCCAACCACCAAUGAGUUUUUGGCUUUGACAUUUCAGUCCAACCUAGUCGAUACUGUACCAUUCAUAACCUGCAAAGAAAUAAUAACAGGUUUCAAUAGCCUAACGGAACCAUUACAAAUUCUCGACACAACAACUCCUGACACCAUUCGCGUUACCUUCACUUGAUAAAUCUAAUGGUGCACACCCAAAUCAAGCCUUUAAGUAAUAACGGGAAAACAAUCACCAAGCUCACUUCGGUUCCAUUUCAACCACUAAGCGCCAAGGAUCAAUUAACCCUUUUGCUACCAGGACUCAUGGCAUCUCUCUGGAUGUAAGCUACUACCAGGUUCGUUCGUUUGUACCUGCAACAUGGCAGUCAUAGCAGGGUCAGAUAUAACUUCUAUGAAGCCAAUUCUAUUGGAACAUACCUUGUUCUAACAUGCACCAAAUUAACUCAACACAAAUCUCUUAACAGAACAUUGCAUUAGAAUCACAUUUCAUUACACAGGCAUUUUGAAUCACAUUUGGCAGCUUGUUUUUAGUAAUAGGAAGAAACCCAUUAAAUGACCUGUUGUAACAACUUUCUUAGGCAAAUUCAUGGAGAGAAAGACCAAAUUACCAAGAACUCAUGGAGAGAAAAGCCAAACCUGUAUUCCAUAACAUACCGACAUCGUGCAUUCUGCACUCUUUCGUUUCAUGUCGGCAAUAGAAGUAUCAUCCAACUUGGGCAUUCACCUGCAGAAUUUGAAGAAAAACAUGUAGCAGACCAAUGACCAAAAGAAAAUGACAAGCGUGUGAUCUCAAUUAGCAAUACGGCGGUAAGAGUUCUGCAGAAAGACUAAGGUAAAUUAACAGUUCACUCAUUUCAAUAAUAAAUCCACCAAAUUUCCAUUCUUAACAAACUCCAACUAACCCACUAACUGAUUUAAAAUUAUUGAAACUAACUCUAACUGUUCGGAAAUCAACAUGUAACUGGAAAAAAUCAUUUCGAGCUAACUGACCAACUGACUCCAUUAACCUAUAGCUAACAACUCUAACAAACGGUUAAACCUUUUUAACAGAAAAUUGGAGGGAGGUACAAGUUCUUACACACUAUAAAAGCUAACAUCAUGGUGAUUCUUCAGAGUUAUUCCAUCUCUUUCUUCAUCCUCUUCAUUUCUCACUCUCCCAAUUGCUUUCACCUUCUUCAAAGUUCUGCAACCUGUAGCCGCAAAUCAAUUCAAACCUGCAAAUUUGACUCUGCAAAUUCUGCAACAAAGUCACAUUAGGCUGGCUCAUCCCCUACCUGCAGAAUCCUCAAAACUCAACCUUACCUUCAGUUCAACGGGAUUCUUUCACUAUCCUCAUGCAGAAUCCUUCUUCAAUCAACAAUACGCCUUCGAUUCCCUUCCUCACAUUUUCGUUUUCUUCUCAAGUCCCUUUCUAUGAACGGAAUUCAAGACAAAGCCUGCAAUCAUUGAUUCAACAAUCUCACACAUCGCGUAACCAAUGAAUUCAGAAGAGCGAAGUCGUAACAAAGAAGAUGGCUAUGAAGGGGUGAAAGAUUGGAAUCGCAUAAGAGAUUUACCUGCUUCUGUUUCUGCAGUUGAACCUGGUAAAGCGUUGUAUUCGCUUUAAUUCACACCCAUUCGCGUCUGAAUCGCUCAAACUGUCUUAUCGUUACGGUAAAGCAUCGUAUUCGCUUCGAUUCACGCCGGCUCAAAUUGAAUCACUUAAGAGAUUGUUGAUAAGUUCAAGCGAGAAUCCAUGAUUGGGGAAAAUUAACUUGAUACAGUUGUGUUGAUUUCUUAAAGCGCAAUUGCGGCGUCUUCCUUUCAACAUCAGUUUUCCAACCCCGUGCUCGCCGAAACGGAGAAGUGAAUCCUCUCCAAACUCAAUGUUGCCGAGAAUAUCCAUCAUCAAAUCGAUCAGUAGGCGGAGGAAUCGCUCCGAAAAGCGAUAAAAGGCUUCGAGCCAAGAUCGAUUGAAGAAUCCAUUGGAGCGAAAAUCCCAUUCAAAGCUCCAUCAGAACGAAGAACGCGUUGGAUGAGGUAGUAUCAUGGUCGAUUCCUCUUGCUUUUUGGAAAAAUCACAACCCAUUGUCGAUGAUGGACGUCCAUUCGCGGCGCGGUGUUACGGUUCAUUGCCCCUCUUCCACGAGUAUUAGACCUUUGAGGAAGUUGAAGAAUGACUAUGGGCUUUGUCAUGUGGGUCAAGCGGAA
rnacentral:lncRNA from 1 species